GACGAACGCUGGCGGCGUGCUUAACACAUGCAAGUCGAACGGAAAGGCCCUGCUUUUGUGGGGUGCUCGAGUGGCGAACGGGUGAGUAACACGUGAGUAACCUGCCCUUGACUUUGGGAUAACUUCAGGAAACUGGGGCUAAUACCGGAUAGGAGCUCCUGCUGCAUGGUGGGGGUUGGAAAGUUUCGGCGGUUGGGGCUGGACUCGCGGCUUAUCCGCUUGUUUGUGGGGUAGUGGCUUACCAAGGCUUUGACGGGUAGCCGGCCUGAGAGGGUGACCGGCCACAUUGGGACUGAGGGACGGCCCAGUAUCGUACGGGAGGCAGCAGGGGGGAAUAUUGCACAAUGGGGGGAAGCCUGAUGCAGCAACGCCGCGUGCGGGAUGACGGCCUUCGGGUUGUAAACCGAUUUCGCCUGUGACGAAGCGUGAGUGACGGUAAUGGGUAAAGAAGCACCGGCUAACUACGUG
rnacentral:rRNA from 1 species